rnacentral:tRNA from 1 species
GAAGGGUACAAGGAACUGCUAAUCCCUACCACUGGUACUAACCUACCAAACCUUUC